AUUGAACGCUGGCGGCAGGCCUAACACAUGCAAGUCGAGCGGCAGCGGGAGAGUAGCUUGCUACUUUUGCCGGCGAGCGGCGGACGGGUGAGUAAUGCCUGGGAAAUUGCCCAGUCGAGGGGGAUAACAGUUGGAAACGACUGCUAAUACCGCAUACGCCCUACGGGGGAAAGCAGGGGACCUUCGGGCCUUGCGCGAUUGGAUAUGCCCAGGUGGGAUUAGCUAGUUGGUGAGGUAAUGGCUCACCAAGGCGACGAUCCCUAGCUGGUCUGAGAGGAUGAUCAGCAACACUGGAACUGAGACACGGUCCAGACUCCUACGGGAGGCAGCAGUGGGGAAUAUUGCACAAUGGGGGAAACCCUGAUGCAGCCAUGCCGCGUGUGUGAAGAAGGCCUUCGGGUUGUAAAGCACUUUCAGCGAGGAGGAAAGGUUGAUGCCUAAUACGUAUCAACUGUGACGUUACUCGCAGAAGAAGCACCGGCUAACUACGUGCCAGCCGCCGCAGUAA
rnacentral:rRNA from 1 species